GACGAACGCUGGCGGCGUGCUUAACACAUGCAAGUCGAACGGAAAGGCCCUGCUUUUGUGGGGUGCUCGAGUGGCGAACGGGUGAGUAACACGUGAGUAACCUGCCCUUGACUUUGGGAUAACUUCAGGAAACUGGGGCUAAUACCGGAUAGGAGCUCCUGCUGCAUGGUGGGGGUUGGAAAGUUUCGGCGGUUGGGGAUGGACUCGCGGCUUACCAGCUUGUUGGUGGGGUAGUUGCUUACCAAGGCUUUGACGGGUAGCCGGCCUGAGAGGGUGACCGGCCACAUUGGGACUGAGGUACGGACCAGACUCCUACGGGAGGCAGCAGUGGGGAAUAUGGCACAACGGGGGGGAGCCUGAUGAAGCAACGCCGCGUGCGGGAUGACGGCCUUCGGGUUGUAAACCGCUUUCGCCUGUGACGAAGCGUGAGUGACGGUAAUGGGUAAAGAAGCACCGGCUAACUACGUG
rnacentral:rRNA from 1 species